rnacentral:rRNA from 1 species
UACGAAGGGGGCUAGCGUUGUUCGGAAUUACUGGGCGUAAAGCGCGUGUAGGCGGGUCUUUAAGUCAGGGGUGAAAUGCCAGGGCUCAACCUUUGAAAGCCGAUGGAUACUGCGGAGCUAGAGUACGGAAGAGGCGAGUGGAAUUCCUGGUGUAGCGGUGGAAUGCGCAGAUAUCAGGAGGAACACCAAUAGCGAAGGCAGCUCGCUGGGACGUUACUGACACUGAGGCGCGAAAGCGUGGGGAGCGAACAGG